UCCCUACGGGGCGCAGCAGUGAGGAAUAUUGGUCAAUGGACGAGAGUCUGAACCAGCCAAGUAGCGUGAAGGAUGACUGCCCUAUGGGUUGUAAACUUCUUUUAUAAAGGAAUAAAACGAGGCACGUGUGCCUUUUUGCAUGUACUUUAUGAAUAAGGAUCGGCUAACUCCGUGCCAGCAGCCGCGGUAAUACGGAGGAUCCGAGCGUUAUCCGGAUUUAUUGGGUUUAAAGGGAGCGUAGAUGGGUUGUUAAGUCAGUGGUCAAAUUGAGGGGCUCAACCCCUUCCCGCCAUUGAAACUGGCGC
rnacentral:rRNA from 1 species